GGGGGCGUACCGGUUUCGACGGGGAUGCUGAACCAGGUUUAGCGGGCAGUGGCGCGGAUCCACUUUAAAAGUCGCAGUUUAUAAAUUUAAACAACAACGAACAAUUAGCUUACGCUGCCUAAUUAAAGGCGGCCGUCCUUACCGGAAGGGCCACGAGCCGGAUAAGGGCGUCGUUUAGUGGCGUCCGUGCGUGCGCAAAGCUUUGAGCGCACCACGCAUAAUGAAGCUACCGAAUCCUUUAGUCUGACGGUCGACGACUGGAUAAGGGAAUGUAAAUAACCGUCUGCGCCCGGAGAAGGACCUGCGGAUAUGUUUUCGGACGGGGGUUCAACUCCCCCCGCCUCCACCA
rnacentral:tmRNA from 1 species